GAUGAACGCUGGCGGCGUGCCUAAUACAUGCAAGUCGAGCGCUGGAGGUUGGUGCUUGUACCAACUGGAUGAGCAGCGAACGGGUGAGUAACGCGUGGGGAAUCUGCCUUUGAGCGGGGGACAACAUCUGGAAACGAAUGCUAAUACCGCAUAAAAACUUGAAACACAAGUUUUAAGCGUGAAAGAUGCAAUUGCUUCACUCAAAGAUUAGCUCGCGGUUGCUUUGCUAAGUGGGUAGGUAAAGGCCUACCCAGGCGAUGAUACAUAGCCGACCUGAGAGGGUGAUUGGCCACCAUGGGACUUAGGACAGGCCCCAACCCCCAACGGAGGCCGCCGUAGGGGAUCCUCGGGAAUGGACGGAAGUCCGAACGAGCCACGCCGGGUGAGUGAAGAAGGGUUUCGGAUCGUAAAAAUCUGUUUGUAGGGAAGAAAGAUAGUGAGAGUGGAAAGCUCAUAAAGUGACGGUAACUAACCAGAAAGGCACGGCUAACUACGUG
rnacentral:rRNA from 1 species